UACAGAGGCCCCGAGCGUUAAUCGGAAUUACUGGGCGUAAAGCGUGCGCAGGCGGUUAUUUAAGUCAGGUGUGAAAGCCCUGGGCUUAACCUAGGAAUUGCGCUUGAGACUGGAUAGCUUGGAGUGCGGCAGAGGGAGGUGGAAUUCCACGUGUAGCAGUGAAAUGCGUAGAGAUGUGGAGGAACACCGAUGGCGAAGGCAGCCUCCUGGGCCAGCACUGACGCUCAUGCACGAAAGCGUGGGGAGCAAACAGG
rnacentral:rRNA from 1 species